AUGUACAAGGAGGAAGCCAGGGGUACGGUCAAAACAUGCAGGACUGGGGACUCGCCUAACACACCCGGGAGAGCAAGCCUCGAGGGGAGCAAGAUGGCAUCUCAGCAGGCCAUCUUCCCAGAGCACCCGUGCAGGCCAUAUUGAGAGUCGCCCUAUCUCAGAUCUAUCUCUCCAUCAGCCAGGCUGUACAGUGAAGGUGACCUACAGCAGGGCUGUGGUCAACCUGUCGGGCCUCAGGCAAGAAAAAUUUCUCGGUAUUAUAAACCUUGGGAUUUGGAGACGUAUUUAUCCUUACAGCAGCGACAAACCCAAUUUACCAAUAAAUCUUCAUCCCUGGGAAGAAGAGAAAUGUGAAUGACCAGAGCAACCCUCAUUAACUUGUGGAGUAACAGAUUCUAGGAUGCAGCCUAGACCAGAGUUCUUAGAAGAGAAAAACUGAUGUUAGAAGCAAGGAUGGUCUAAUCCAUCAUGAGACCGAGAGACUCCACAGCCAGCAGAGCACAAAGACUCAAAAGAAGCUUCUCUAUGACAGCCUUGGGAGAGAGUUUGUGACUGUGCGGAUAAUUAGCUUCAGACUUCUGGAUUAUGGACUGUUUCAGAAUAAAGUUCUGUUGGGCUGAGCUGCCCAGAUCAUAAUAA
ensembl:lncRNA